rnacentral:rRNA from 1 species
GUAAUCAUAUGCUUGUCUCAAAGAUUAAGCCAUGCAUGUCUAAGUACAUGCCGAAAUAAGGCGAAACCGCGAAUGGCUCAUUAAAUCAGUUAUGGUUCCUUAGAUCGUUUCUUCCUACUUGGAUAACUGUGGCAAUUCUAGAGCUAAUACAUGCAGUGAGCCUGGAGCCCUUUGGGUAACGGGUGCUUUUAUUAGACCAAGAUCGAUCGGGUUUCGGCCCGUAUUGUGUGGUGACUCUGGAUAACUUUGUGCUGAUCGCAUGGCCACGAGCCGGCGACGUUUCUUUCAAGUGUCUGCCUUAUCAACUUUCGAUGGUAGGUUACUUGCUUACCAUGGUUGUUACGGGUAACGGAGAAUCAGGGUUCGAUUCCGGAGAGGGAGCCUGAGAAACGGCUACCACAUCCAAGGAAGGCAGCAGGCGCGCAAAUUACCCACUCCCGGCACGGGGAGGUAGUGACGAAAAAUAACAAUACGGGACUCUUUUGAGGCCCCGUAAUUGAAAUGAGUACACUCUAAAUCCUUUAACGAGGAUCAAUUGGAGGGCAAGUCUGGUGCCAGCAGCCGCGGUAAUUCCAGCUCCAAUAGCGUAUACUAAAGCUGCUGCGGUUAAAAAGCUCGUAGUUGGAUCUCAGUUCCAGACGAGUAGUGCAUCUACCCGAUGCGACGGCUCGCACUGAACAUCAUGCCGGUUCUUUCUUGGUGCACUUCAUUGUGUGCCUCGAGAUGGCCGGUGCUUUUACUUUGAAAAAAUUAGAGUGCUCAACGCAGGCGAGUCGCCUGAAUAAACUUGCAUGGAAUAAUAGAACAAGACCUCGUUUCUGUUCUGUUGGUUUUUGGAAUACGAGGUAAUGAUUAAGAGGGACGGACGGGGGCAUUCGUAUUGCGGCGCUAGAGGUGAAAUUCUUGGACCGUCGCAAGACGAACUACUGCGAAAGCAUUUGCCAAGAAUGUUUUCAUUGAUCAAGAACGAAAGUCAGAGGUUCGAAGGCGAUCAGAUACCGCCCUAGUUCUGACCAUAAACGAUGCCAACCAGCGAUCCGCCUGAGUUACUCAAAUGACUCGGCGGGCAGCUUCCGGGAAACCAAAGUAUUUGGGUUCCGGGGGAAGUAUGGUUGCAAAGCUGAAACUUAAAGGAAUUGACGGAAGGGCACCACCAGGAGUGGAGCCUGCGGCUUAAUUUGACUCAACACGGGAAAACUUACCCGGCCCGGACACUGGGAGGAUUGACAGAUUGAGAGCUCUUUCUUGAUUCGGUGGAUGGUGGUGCAUGGCCGUUCUUAGUUGGUGGAGCGAUUUGUCUGGUUAAUUCCGAUAACGAACGAGACUCUAGCCUAUUAAAUAGGUGCGGGGUUCCCAGCACCUUACAACCUUCUUAGAGGGACAAGCGGCUCCUAGCCGCACGAAACAGAGCAAUAACAGGUCUGUGAUGCCCUUAGAUGUCCGGGGCCGCACGCGCGCUACACUGAAGGAAGCAGCGUGUCUUUAUCCCUGUCUGAAAAGACUGGGUAACCCGUGGAACUUCUUUCGUGAUUGGGAUAGGGGCUUGCAAUUGUUCCCCUUGAACGAGGAAUUCCCAGUAAGCGCGAGUCAUAAGCUCGCGUUGAUUACGUCCCUGCCCUUUGUACACACCGCCCGUCGCUACUACCGAUUGAAUGAUUUAGUGAGGUCUUCGGACCGAUGUCCGGCGCGGCCUUUCGGUUGCGCCGGUCUGUUGGAAAGAUGACCAAACUUGAUCAUUUAGAGGAAGUAAAAGUCGUAACAAGGUUUCCGUAGGUGAACCUGCGGAAGGAUCAUUA